GACGAACGCUGGCGGCGUGCUUAACACAUGCAAGUCGAGCGGUAAGGCCCUUUCGGGGGUACACGGGCGGCGAACGGGUGAGUAACACGUGGGUGACCUGCCCUUAGCUCUGGGAUAAGCCUGGGAAACUGGGUCUAAUACCGGAUAUGACUCCAUGACGCAUGUUGUGGGGUGGAAAGCCUUGUGCGGCUAGGGAUGGGCCUGCGGCCUAUCAGCUUGUUGGUGGGGUGAUGGCCACCAAGGCGACGACGGGUAGGCCGGCCCUGAGAGGGCGACCGGCCACACUGGGACUGAGACACGGCCCACGACUCCUACGGGAGGGCAGCAGUGGGGAAGUCUUGCGCAAUGGGCGAAAGCCUGACGCA
rnacentral:rRNA from 1 species